GCCAGUGUCUAGGAAGGCGAAGGCGGGCGGCGACGGCGACCUAAGGCAGCGGGAGGGCACGCUCGGCGCAGGGGCGAGUGGCCUGCCCGGCGCGAAGGGCUCGGCCCCGCCGGCGGCCCGGCCGUUCGGGGUCCCCACUCCCCACACCGUACGGCCCGGAGCCCUGGUUCGGCCUCGCCGCCCACCGCGCCCUGCCUAUGACCCGCUGUGUGACCUCGAGCAAGUCUCUUGCCUUCUCCGGUCUCCCGGCGACUCCGCCCUGUGCGACCGGCAGGGCGGCAGGGGCUCAGAGACCGUGGUUAGCGCUCCUGGCAGGAGAGAAGGGUGGGCCUUCGUCCGAGCACAGUGGCGGCUGAGACCGGACCUCUGGGGUGUCUCCCGGAGGUGAGGCUGGCGGUCAGGGGACUGGCCCUUGGAAGGGGCCCUGCCUCGCCCUCCAGCCUUCCAUCCUGGUGGCCGGCUGGGGUCCUGACCCAGGCCCACUGGCCCCCGCAUCAGACCCGCCCUGCCGGCCCAGCCCAGGGGGCAGCUCUGAGGCCGGGCGUCUGCGUGGGCUUGUUUCAGACGAGAUGGUUCAUUAAACGGGAGCCACAGGGCUGGGCACUGGGCACACGGGCGGACGAGGGCAGAUGCUCACUCUACGCUGUGCCCUACGUAGGGGCCAUGAGGCCCGGAACCUGCCAACGGCCGGAGACACCCACGCACAAAAGUUGCAGAGCCGGGACCACUCUGCCAUCCCUGGAGUGGUCCACGGUCUGCACGUGGUUGCUGCGGCCUGUGGGCAAAGCCCAGUGCCGGCUCCUUCCUCUGGGUUUCCUGCCGACCGGCAGUCAGUCCCAGGGCCUCAGUCAGACUCAGCUUCGGUAACUUUGACCAAACUACAGGUGGUGCUGGGCAAGGCUGGGGCGGCUCAAAUGCCUGGCUGUGUCACUUGGAAGUCUGAGUGGCCGUCCCAGGGGAGACACUCCACUGCCUUCUUUGUCACUGAUCUUCGGAGUCCUCGUGCAGACACCGUCCAGUGUGGGCCCUGCAGGGUGCAGCUUGGUCCGGUGGCCGCCGGAGAGACGCUGGGAUCAUCCCCUCCCGCCACCGGCUCUCACGAGUGAGGUGGCUCCCACCAGCCUCCAGGAGUGGCCCGUUUCUCUUUUUCCAAGGUAUCAUUCUGAACUCGUGAACUUAAACAUUUUGAUGGGUUUUAAUCCAUGGCGUUUCUUAUCCCCAUUGAAGAUCAGGUUGUCGCAGUCUUGGCCAGUGAGGGGGUCUCUCCAGGCCACUGGCAGCUGCUUUGGACAUGACGCUACUGGACCUCAACGCAGGGCCCCCGGCCUGAUGCCGUGCCCAGGCUCACGGUGGACACUCCUGCCCCAUGCCUCGGACAGGCCGCUUCUCCAAGAGGCCCUCAUCAUGAGAAAUGCUAUUUCAAGACGACGACGUGGGGCUUCCCUGGUGGCGCAGUGGUUGAGAGUCCGCCUGCCGAUGCAGGGGACACGGGUUCGUGCCCCGGUCCGGGAGGAUCCCACAUGCCACAGAGCGGCUGGGCCCGUGAGCCAUGGCCGCUGAGCCUGCGUGUCCGGAGCCUGUGCUCCGCAACGGGAGUGGCCACAACAGUGAGAGGGCCGCGUACCACCAAAAAAAAAAAAAAAAAAAGACCACGACAUGGGGGCAAGGGAGGGCACUGCCAGGUUGCUCACUGUUUCUAGACCUUCAGCACAGAGCUAGAGGGAGAUAAGGAUGAUAUAGAUAUCGGUUAAUAUAGGUGACGUAUAGAUACACAAUACAUACAUAGGAUCUCUGGCAACCACUGAUCUGCUCCAUUUCUGUAACUGUCUCUCCCCCAACGUUACACAGGAGGAAGCACCUGGAACACAGCCUUUUAGGUUAACUGUUUCCGCUCAGCCUGACCCUCUGGAGACGUGCUCGGGGCUGCUUGUCCUAACAGUCCGUGCCUUUGUGAUGUGGAGUAUUGGGUGCUGGGGCCACCGAGGGUUUACCCUCACCCGACAAAGAACGCCGGGUCCUUACGGGCGUGGCUGUUACAGGUGCGAUGGUGCCCUCGGGGCUCCCCGUGCGGCCCAAGACCCAGAGCUGUUCCGGAAGAUCUUCUCUACUUUCGACGUGUGCAUUCUUCUUCAGCCCAGAGGACCACACAGGAGACACGCCGUCUGGAAGAUCCAUCCCACAAUUACUCAUUCAGUUUUCCCAACAGUAUGAUCGCUAAAAACAUGAAGUGUUUUUGCACCUCUGCCCUCUCUCCCUACCCUCCUCCAGGCUGCUGCAGGCCCCACGCUCCCAUCGCAGCCUUGCUGGCCCGGGCCCCGAAGCAGCUGUACGUGUGACACCGUCCUCGGUGCCCACGCUGACGCGUCUGAUCACAUCAGCUGCAGAAGAUCAUUUUCCCGUAGAUUCUCGGGAAGGGCUCACAGGAACAAGAUCUCUGAAUUCUGAGUUCUCCCACAUGGAUGACAACUUUUCUGUGCCCUUUGUACUUGCAAGUGAGUUUUUUGGAUAUAAAAUCCUUGGUGUACACUUUCUUUCUUCAAAUAUCUGAAACAUGUUACUCCAUUGUGUUCUGGAAUAAAGUAUUGUUGUCAAAAAGUAUGAUAGUCUAAAAUCAAAAAAUAGAAUUUUUUUUAAAAAGUAAAAACAAAUAAUAUGAACAAAUAAAAAAGUAUGAUAGUCUAAUAUUCUUUCCUAUGUAAGUAAUGUGCUUUUUUCAAGAUGCCCAAAGGAUUUUUUUUUCUUUUCUCUUUAAAGUCCAGUAACUUUUCUA